rnacentral:rRNA from 1 species
UACGGAGGGUGCAAGCGUUAUCCGGAUUCACUGGGUUUAAAGGGUGCGUAGGUGGGCUUGUAAGUCAGUGGUGAAAUCUCCGGGCUUAACUCGGAAACUGCCAUUGAUACUAUAGGUCUUGAAUUAUCUGGAGGUCAGCGGAAUAUGUCAUGUAGCGGUGAAAUGCUUAGAUAUGACAUAGAACACCAAUUGCGAAGGCAGCUGGCUACAGGUUUAUUGACACUGAGGCACGAAAGCGUGGGGGAUCAAAACAGGG